rnacentral:rRNA from 1 species
UACGGGAGGCAGCAGUGGGGAAUAUUGCACAAUGGGCGAAAGCCUGAUGCAGCUAUGCCGCGUGUAUGAAGAAGGCCUUAGGGUUGUAAAGUACUUUCAUCGGGGAGGAAAAAACAAAACUAAUAAUUUUAUUUCUUGACGUUACCCGAAAAAGAAGCACCGGCUAACUCCGUGCCAGCAGCCGCGGUAAUACGGAGGGUGCUAGCGUUAAUCAGAAUUACUGGGCGUAAAGAGCACGUAGGUGGUUUUUUUAAGUCAGAUGUGAAAUCCCUGGGCUUAACCUGGAACUGCAUUUUGAAACUGAAAUACUAGAGUAUCGUAGAGGGAGGUAGAAUUCUAGGUGUAGCGGUGAAAUGCGUAGAUAUCUGGAGGAAUACCUGUGGCGAAAGCGGCCUCCUAAACGAAUACUGACACUGAGGUGCGAAAGCGUUGGGGAGCAAACAGGGAUUUAGGAUACC